rnacentral:rRNA from 1 species
UACGUAGGGGGCAAGCGUUGUCCGGAAUCAUUGGGCGUAAAGAGCGUGUAGGCGGCCCGAUAAGUCCGCCGUGAAAGUCCAGGGCUCAACCCUGGGAUGCCGGUGGAAACUGUCGGGCUAGAGUCCGGAAGAGGCGAGUGGAAUUCCUGGUGUAGCGGUGAAAUGCGCAGAUAUCAGGAGGAACACCGGUGGCGAAGGCGGGACUCUGGGCCGAUACUGACGCUGAGGAGCGAAAGCGUGGGGAGCAAACAGG